AUCAAGUAUUUUAUUUUGAGCACUGCUAUGAGUACUGUGUGAAUUGAAACCUUGUAGUGUUGUCUUUAGAGAUACUUAAUCUGCUGAGUGAGUCACCCAUACUAUUACUGGCUUUAAAUUUUUUUUUUGGUGAGUAUCCAUUUAAAAAGUAUCCGAGGCAUUUAUGUGUUAACGUUUACCUCCUUUGCUCUGGAAGGGUGUUAAUUGAAUUUAUCUUUGGUGGGGUUGUUUUGUAGAAGAUUUGUUGUGACAUCAGCGCACGAUGAUCACAGUAGUUGUGAAUAAGUUACAACUUAUGUGUGAGUUCCGACAAUAUCUUUGUCAGACAUGUCCGUGAACCCCAACAAUAUCUUGAACUUUUCAUUCACCUCGCCCAAGGUCUUGAACCUCUCAUUAAGAGAGGAAAUCACAGUAUCCACUACCACAUUGAAAAAUGUAGUCUCCAUCCUCUUGAGUACAUCGCUGACAGGUUCGUCUGCACACUCAUAGCUAAAGUGACAUUUUUUAGUUCUUAGUCUUCUGUUUCAGCACCGUGUCUACGCUCAUCGCUUCACAGAUUUCUUUAGCAAUAGUUAGUGCAUCAGCAAAACCUGUAUUUCUGUAGCUGACAAUAUCAUCUCUGGUCUUUUUGAGCAGAUCUACAGCCACGCCGAGCUGUAUCGUAGUCGACUGCAUUAGUUUGCUCACGUGCUGAAUUUUGCUGAGUAUAUCAUACCACACAACUGAACAAAUGACAAAACGGUAUGACCCUACUUCCUCUGCCAACGAUUAAGCCUCAACUUUGACGACAGGGUCAGUUGCAGAUUCUCUGUGCUCCAAAAGCGCUUCUUUGAGUUGCGGAGGUUGAUAUCUAAUUGCCUCCACACUUUUUACUCGGCUUUCCCAUCUGACGUCUGACCACGAUUUCAGAGUAAUAUUAACAUGUUUUAAAAGAACUUGCCACCUCUGAGGAGAGGCUGAAAACAAUGUGAAUACUUUCGUUAAAUAUCCAAAGUAACAAGUUGCAUUUAGGGAGCUCUUGGCAGCGUCACCUAAUAUAAAAUUCAAAUUAUGGGCACCACAAGGGACAAAUAAGGGCCGAGAAUUCUGUUGAAGAAGCCUGGCUUGAACUCCUUUGAUGUUUCCUCUCAUAUUUGCUUCAUUGUCGUAGGAUUGACCUCGAUAAUCCUCAAAAGAAAUGUUCAUUUGUUUGUCUUCCGAGUAGAAUUCAUGACAAAUUUAGCCCUGUAGACUUCUCUACCUCAAGGAACCCCAAGGUAGUGUGACUGUGAUUGCCUGCAUUACUUUCAACCCUACUUAAAGUUCCACUUCUUGGAGAAAAUUACCAUUGGAUUGACAGUUAAGUUUUUCGGCUGACCCUCUAGAGCCAAAUUGCUUUCAGCUAGAGACUGAAUAAUCGCCAUUAGUCUAGUGAGGACUUGGCGCCACCCGUUCCACUCAGCCAUUAACAUUUCCAUUUCCCGUCUGUCUAUCGUCCUUCCACUUGCAAUGUUGACCUCCAGUUCCUUCUAUGUUGUCAUGUUUUUUUUAGUGUGUUCUAUGUUACUUUCAUGUGUGCUGAGCAAAUGACUAGUUCUCAGUUGGAGUCAAUUUGUUACCAUUGAAUUUAUUGAGAUAACACAAGUUUGGUGUUAAAUUUUUCAUUGUUGUAUUUUUCAACCUGUUUUUAUUUAACGGAGAAUUUUAUUACAUAGCGCCUUACCAUUUCUUACAGUGUAGACUGAUAUGCAUUGUUGGUAAAGAGGUUAUAUGUAUUUGAGAACUAAUUCCGGUGUAUUUUCAGCCAUAGUAUUGAGUGGGUUGAGGACUCUGUGGUGAAAUGGACAUCUAAGACAUACAAUCUCUGAAAAUGAAUUGCUGGAAGCACCCUCUGUACAUGUAAGGACCACCAAUUGUGAGUAAAGCACAGAGUAAAUUGUGUAGUGUUAACACAGUGUCAAGAUAAUUGAAAAAGACAGUGAAUUCUUGUGAGUACAGAAAAUCCGCUUUGUGUUAAUCAUCCGUGAAAGCUACAGAGUUAUAUUUUCUUGAGACAUUCUCGUCAAGUAUCAUCAAGUAUUUUAUUUUGAGCAUUGCUAUGAGUACUUUGUGAAUUGAAAGUUUGUAUUGUCCUCUUUAGAGAUACUUAAUUUUCUGAGUGAGUCACCGAUACUACUGCCGAUUAUUUAUUUUGCCAUAGUAUUGAGUGGGUUGAGGACUCUGUGGUGAAAUGGACAUCUAAGACAUACAAUCUCUGAAAAUGAAUUGCUGGAAGCACCCUCUGUACAUGUAAGGACCACCAAUUGUGAGUAAAGCACAGAGUAAAUUGUGUAGUGUUAACACAGUGUCAAGAUAAUUGAAAAAGACAGUGAAUUCUUGUGAGUACAGAAAAUCCGCUUUGUGUUAAUCAUCCGUGAAAGCUACAGAGUUAUAUUUUCUUGAGACAUUCUCGUCAAGUAUCAUCAAGUAUUUUAUUUUGAGCAUUGCUAUGAGUACUUUGUGAAUUGAAAGUUUGUAUUGUCCUCUUUAGAGAUACUUAAUUUUCUGAGUGAGUCACCGAUACUACUGCCGAUUAUUUAUUUUGCCAUAGUAUUGAGUGGGUUGAGGACUCUGUGGUGAAAUGGACAUCUAAGACAUACAAUCUCUGAAAAUGAAUUGCUGGAAGCACCCUCUGUACAUGUAAGGACCACCAAUUGUGAGUAAAGCACAGAGUAAAUUGUGUAGUGUUAACACAGUGUCAAGAUAAUUGAAAAAGACAGUGAAUUCUUGUGAGUACAGAAAAUCCGCUUUGUGUUAAUCAUCCGUGAAAGCUACAGAGUUAUAUUUUCUUGAGACAUUCUCGUCAAGUAUCAUCAAGUAUUUUAUUUUGAGCAUUGCUAUGAGUACUUUGUGAAUUGAAAGUUUGUAUUGUCCUCUUUAGAGAUACUUAAUUUUCUGAGUGAGUCACCGAUACUACUGCCGAUUAUUUAUUUUGGUGAGUAUCCAUUUAAGAAGUAUCCGAGGCAUUUAUGUGUCAAUGUUUACCCCCUUUGCUCUGGAAGGGUGUUAAUUGAAUUUAUCUUUGGUGGGGUUGUUUUGUAGAAGAUUUGUUGUGACAUCAGCGCACGAUGAUCACAGUAGUUGUGAAUAAGUUACAACUUAUGUGUGAGUUCCGACAAUAUCUUUGUCAGACAUGUCCGUGAACCCCAACAAUACCUUGAACUUUUCAUUCACCUCGCCCAAGGUCUUGAACCUCUCAUUAAGAGAGGAAAUCACAGUAUCCACUACCACAUUGAAAAUGUAGUCUCCAUCCUCUUGAGUACAUCGCUGACAGGUUCGUCUGCACACUCAUAGCUAAAGUGACAUUUUUUAGUUCUUAGUCUUCUGUUUCAGCACCGUGUCUACGCUCAUCGCUUCACAGAUUUCUUUAGCAAUAGUUAGUGCAUCAGCAAAACCUGUAUUUCUGUAGCUGACAAUAUCAUCUCUGGUCUUUUUGAGCAGAUCUACAGCCACGCCGAGCUGUAUCGUAGUCGACUGCAUUAGUUUGCUCACGUGCUGAAUUUUGCUGAGUAUAUCAUACCACACAACUGAACAAAUGACAAAACGGUAUGACCCUACUUCCUCUGCCAACGAUUAAGCCUCAACUUUGACGACAGGGUCAGUUGCAGAUUCUCUGUGCUCCAAAAGCGCUUCUUUGAGUUGCGGAGGUUGAUAUCUAAUUGCCUCCACACUUUUUACUCGGCUUUCCCAUCUGACGUCUGACCACGAUUUCAGAGUAAUAUUAACAUGUUUUAAAAGAACUUGCCACCUCUGAGGAGAGGCUGAAAACAAUGUGAAUACUUUCGUUAAAUAUCCAAAGUAACAAGUUGCAUUUAGGGAGCUCUUGGCAGCGUCACCUAAUAUAAAAUUCAAAUUAUGGGCACCACAAGGGACAAAUAAGGGCCGAGAAUUCUGUUGAAGAAGCCUGGCUUGAACUCCUUUGAUGUUUCCUCUCAUAUUUGCUUCAUUGUCGUAGGAUUGACCUCGAUAAUCCUCAAAAGAAAUGUUCAUUUGUUUGUCUUCCGAGUAGAAUUCAUGACAAAUUUAGCCCUGUAGACUUCUCUACCUCAAGGAACCCCAAGGUAGUGUGACUGUGAUUGCCUGCAUUACUUUCAACCCUACUUAAAGUUCCACUUCUUGGAGAAAAUUACCAUUGGAUUGACAGUUAAGUUUUUCGGCUGACCCUCUAGAGCCAAAUUGCUUUCAGCUAGAGACUGAAUAAUCGCCAUUAGUCUAGUGAGGACUUGGCGCCACCCGUUCCACUCAGCCAUUAACAUUUCCAUUUCCCGUCUGUCUAUCGUCCUUCCACUUGCAAUGUUGACCUCCAGUUCCUUCUAUGUUGUCAUGUUUUUUUUAGUGUGUUCUAUGUUACUUUCAUGUGUGCUGAGCAAAUGACUAGUUCUCAGUUGGAGUCAAUUUGUUACCAUGGAAUUUAUUGAGAUAACACAAGUUUGGUGUUAAAUUUUUCAUUGUUGUAUUUUUCAACCUGUUUUUAUUUAACGGAGAAUUUUAUUACAUAGCGCCUUACCAUUUCUUACAGUGUAGACUGAUAUGCAUUGUUGGUAAAGAGGUUAUAUGUAUUUGAGAACUAAUUCCGGUGUAUUUUCAGCCAUAGUAUUGAGUGGGUUGAGGACUCUGUGGUGAAAUGGACAUCUAAGACAUACAAUCUCUGAAAAUGAAUUGCUGGAAGCACCCUCUGUACAUGUAAGGACCACCAAUUGUGAGUAAAGCACAGAGUAAAUUGUGUAGUGUUAACACAGUGUCAAGAUAAUUGAAAAAGACAGUGAAUUCUUGUGAGUACAGAAAAUCCGCUUUGUGUUAAUCAUCCGUGAAAGCUACAGAGUUAUAUUUUCUUGAGACAUUCUCGUCAAGUAUCAUCAAGUAUUUUAUUUUGAGCAUUGCUAUGAGUACUUUGUGAAUUGAAAGU